GAGUUUGAUCAUGGCUCAGAUUGAACGCUGGCGGCAGGCCUAACACAUGCAAGUCGAGCGGUAGAGAGAAGCUUGCUUCUCUUGAGAGCGGCGGACGGGUGAGUAAUGCCUAGGAAUCUGCCUGGUAGUGGGGGAUAACGUUCGGAAACGGACGCUAAUACCGCAUACGUCCUACGGGAGAAAGCAGGGGACCUUCGGGCCUUGCGCUAUCAGAUGAGCCUAGGUCGGAUUAGCUAGUUGGUGGGGUAAUGGCUCACCAAGGCGACGAUCCGUAACUGGUCUGAGAGGAUGAUCAGUCACACUGGAACUGAGACACGGUCCAGACUCCUACGGGAGGCAGCAGUGGGGAAUAUUGGACAAUGGGCGAAAGCCUGAUCCAGCCAUGCCGCGUGUGUGAAGAAGGUCUUCGGAUUGUAAAGCACUUUAAGUUGGGAGGAAGGGCAGUAAAUUAAUACUUUGCUGUUUUGACGUUACCGACAGAAUAAGCACCGGCUAACUCUGUGCCAGCAGCCGCGGUAAUACAGAGGGUGCAAGCGUUAAUCGGAAUUACUGGGCGUAAAGCGCGCGUAGGUGGUUCGUUAAGUUGGAUGUGAAAUCCCCGGGCUCAACCUGGGAACUGCAUUCAAAACUGACGAGCUAGAGUAUGGUAGAGGGGUGGUGGAAUUUUCUGUGUAGCGGUGAAAUGC
rnacentral:rRNA from 1 species